GAUGAACGCUAGCGGCAGGCCUAACCCAUGCAAGUCGAGGGGUAACAGGGGGUGCUUGCACUCCGCUGACGACCGGCGCACGGGUGCGUAACGCGUAUACAAUCUGCCUUAUACUGGGGUAUAGCCUUUAGAAAUGAAGAUUAAUCCCCCAUAGUCUCUAGAUGUGGCAUCACAAUUAGAGUAAAGGUUACGGUAUAAGAUGAGUAUGCGUUCUAUUAGUUUGUUGGUGAGGUAACGGCUCACCAAGACUACGAUAGAUAGGGGCCCUGAGAGGGGGAUCCCCCACACUGGUACUGAGACACGGACCAGACUCCUACGGGAGGCAGCAGUGAGGAAUAUUGGACAAUGGAGGCAACUCUGAUCCAGCCAUGCCGCGUGCAGGAAGACUGCCCUAUGGGUUGUAAACUGCUUUUAUAUAGGAAGAAACCUUGGUACGUGUACCAAGCUGACGGUACUAUAAGAAUAAGGAUCGGCUAACUCCGUG
rnacentral:rRNA from 1 species